AGAUCCCAAAGUUUUCCCAAAAUCCCAAAGUUCCCGCAGCCUCCCGAGCUGCGCGGCCGGGCCGGGCCCGCCUUUAGACAGAGCUUAGCCAGGCCCGGCUCCCGCUGGAAUUCCCGGAAGGAAAAAGCAGGAGGAAGGAAGGAAAAAAAAAAAAAAAAGGUAAACCGGGAUUUGGGAAUUUUUUCCCUCUUUUCUUCCCCCCUCCCCCGCUUUGAUGCUCUUGGGGUUGUUUCGUCUCCCGGCGCCGGCGGAGAAUUCCAAGCCGCGGGGAUCCCGGUGGGGGAGGGGCGGCCAUGGCCCCCAACGGCUCGGCGGGAAUUCGGGAUUCGCCCCUGGAGCCGGGGAUUUUCCUGGACGAGGAUUUGGGAUCCGACUGGUACAUCGACGAGUCCACCGAGUCCGCGGUCCAGGAUGACCUUUUUCCCGACGCCAUCCCGGAAUGCCAGCCCACAAUCUCCCCCCGGAUGUACCACACCGUCAUGGCUCCCAUUUCCCUGGCCGUGCUCCUGGCCUUGUCCUUCCUGGUCAAGCGCCGCCGGCUCCACCGGAACUGCUGGAACGGCAUCCCGGGAUUCUUCAGCCCCGGGCCGGCGCUGGAUCAGGAGGGGCCGCGCGCGGUGCCGGCGGCGGCGCUGG
rnacentral:lncRNA from 1 species